rnacentral:lncRNA from 1 species
UUGCAUUUUCUGCAUCAUUAAUAAAUGGAUGUUUUUCAGUCAAAAAGCGGUGUUCCCUGUUUUUCAUUUAUUUUUGCAGUUUAAAAACAAAUAAAAAUGGCAAUGUUUAUUUUUCAUUUUUAUUCAGUCAAAAAGCGGUGUUCCCUGUUUUUCAUUUAUUUUUGCAGUUUAAAAACAAAUAAAAAUGGCAAUGUUUAUUUUUCAUUUUUUUCUCUUUUUGAUUUGUCUCGUUCCGAAUUCAAAAAUAAUCCUCCGGAUCUCGUUGAUAACAAUUUGG